GACGAACGCUGGCGGCGUGCUUAACACAUGCAAGUCGAACGGAGUUUCUUGGAUAGAGGUUUCGGCCAAUUGAAUUGAAACUUAGUGGCGGACUGGUGAGUAACGCGUGAGGAACCUGCCUUUCAGAGGGGGACAACAGUUGGAAACGACUGCUAAUACCGCAUGAUACAUUCGGCUGGCAUCAUCUGAAUGUCAAAGAUUUUAUCGCUAAAAGAUGGCCUCGCGUCCCAUUAGAUAGUUGGCGGGGUAACGGCCCACCAAGUCGACGAUGGGUAGCCUGACUGAGAGGUUGACCGGCCACAUUGGGACUGAGAUACGGCCCAGACUCCUACGGGAGGCAGCAGUGGGGAAUAUUGGGCAAUGGACGCAAGUCUGACCCAGCAACGCCGCAUGAAGGAAGAAGGCUUUCGGGUUGUAAACUUCUUUUGUCAGGGAAGAGUAGAAGACGGUACCUGACGAAUAAGCCACGGCUAACUACGUGCCAGCCGCCGCGGUAAAAC
rnacentral:rRNA from 1 species